GGAGCAGGAAGGCCCUGCAGUGCAGAUCCGCCCAGUGGCUGAACACCAAGGAGGAAAGGGUAUUUGAGAUGUCCAGACUCCUGAAUCUGAUACUGGUGUAUCUG